rnacentral:tRNA from 1 species
GGGCGCGUCGUCCAACGGACCAGGGCAUCGGUCUUCUAAACCGAGAAUGGCAGUUCGAGUCUGCCCGCGCCUGCCA